rnacentral:rRNA from 1 species
UGGGGAAUUUUGGACAAUGGGCGAAAGCCUGAUCCAGCAAUGCCGCGUGUGUGAAGAAGGCCUUCGGGUUGUAAAGCACUUUUGUCCGGAAAGAAAUCCUUGGCUCUAAUACAGUCGGGGGAUGACGGUACCGGAAGAAUAAGCACCGGCUAACUACGUGCCAGCAGCCGCGGUAAUACGUAGGGUGCAAGCGUUAAUCGGAAUUACUGGGCGUAAAGCGUGCGCAGGCGGUUUGCUAAGACCGGUGUGAAAUCCCCGGGCUCAACCUGGGAACUGCAUUGGUGACUGGCAGGCUAGAGUAUGGCAGAGGGGGGUAGAAUUCCACGUGUAGCAGUGAAAUGCGUAGAGAUGUGGAGGAAUACCGAUGGCGAAGGCAGCCCCCUGGGCCAAUACUGACGCUCAUGCACGAAAGCGUGGGGAGCAAACAGGAUUAGAUACCCUGGUAGUCCACGCCCUAAAACGAUGUCAACUAGUUGUUGGGGAUUCAUUUCCUUAGUAACGUAGCUAACGCGUGAAGUUGACCGCCUGGGGAGUACGGUCGCAAGAUUAAAACUCAAAUGAAUUGACGGGGUCAUAGCUGUUUCCU